rnacentral:rRNA from 1 species
ACGCUGGCGGCGUGCCUAAUACAUGCAAGUAGAGCGCUGAAGGAGGAGCUUGCUUCUCCGGAUGAGUUGCGAACGGGUGAGUAACGCGUAGGUAACCUGCCUGGUAGCGGGGGAUAACUAUUGGAAACGAUAGCUAAUACCGCAUAAGAGUAGAUGUCGCAUGACAUUUGCUUAAAAGGUGCAAUUGCAUCACUACCAGAUGGACCUGCGUUGUAUUAGCUAGUUGGUGGGGUAACGGCUCACCAAGGCGACGAUACAUAGCCGACCUGAGAGGGUGAUCGGCCACACUGGGACUGAGACACGGCCCAGACUCCUACGGGAGGCAGCAGUAGGGAAUCUUCGGCAAUGGACGGAAGUCUGACCGAGCAACGCCGCGUGAGUGAAGAAGGUUUUCGGAUCGUAAAGCUCUGUUGUAAGAGAAGAACGAGUGUGGGAGUGGAAAGUUCACACUGUGACGGUAUCUUACCAGAAAGGGACGGCUAACUACGCGCCAGCAGCCGCGGUAAUACGUAGGUCCCGAGCGUUGUCCGGAUUUAUUGGGCGUAAAGCGAGCGCAGGCGGUUAGAUAAGUCUGAAGUUAAAGGCUGUGGCUUAACCAUAGUACGCUUUGGAAACUGUUUAACUUGAGUGCAAGAGGGAAGAGUGGAAUUCCAUGUGUAGCGGUGAAAUGCGUAGAUAUAUGGAGGAACACCGGUGGCGAAAGCGGCUCUCUGGCUGGUAACUGACGCUGAGGCUCGAAAGCGUGGGGAGCAACCAGGAUUAGAUACCCUGGUAGUCCACGCCGUAAACGAUGAGUGCUAGGUGUUAGGCCCUUUCCGGGGUUUAGUGCCGCAGCUAACGCAUUAAGCACUCCGCCUGGGGAGUACGACCGCAAGGUUGAAACUCAAAGGAAUUGACGGGG